rnacentral:rRNA from 1 species
GACGAACGCUGGCGGCGUGCUUAACACAUGCAAGUCGAACGGUGAAGCGCCUUCCUUUUUGGUGGGUGUGGAUGAGUGGCGAACGGGUGAGUAACACGUGAGUAACCUGCCCCCUUCUUCUGGAUAACCGCAUGAAAGUGUGGCUAAUACGGGAUAUUCUGGGUCUGUCGCAUGAUGGGUCUGGGAAAGAUAUUGUUUCGGUGGGGGAUGGGCUCGCGGCCUAUCAGCUUGUUGGUGGGGUGAUGGCCUACCAAGGCGGUGACGGGUAGCCGGCCUGAGAGGGUGGACGGCCCCACUGGGACUGAGACACGGCCAAGACUCCUGCGGGAGGCAGCAGUGGGGAAUAUUGCACAAUGGGCGCAAGCCUGAUGCAGCGACGCCGCGUGAGGGAUGGAGGCCGUCGGGUUGUGAACCUCUUUCGCCAGUGAAGCAGGCCUGCCUCGUUUGUGGGUGGGUUGACGGUAGCUGGAUAAGAAGCGCCGGCUAACUACGUG